rnacentral:rRNA from 1 species
UGUCUGGGAACUGCUGAUGAGGGAUACUACUGAAACGGUAGCUAUACGCAUACGUCGCAGACAAGAGGGACUUCGGGCCUCUGCAUCAGAUGUGCCAGAUGGGAUUAGCUAGUAGGUGGUAACGGCUCACCUAGCGACGAUCCCUACUGGUCUGAAGGAUGACCACCACACUGAACUGAACACGGUCAACUCCUACGGGAGGCACAUGGGGAAUAUUGCCAAUGGGCGCAAGCCUGAUGCAGCCAUGCCGCGUGUAUGAAGAAGGCCUUCGGGUUGUAAAGUACUUUCAGCGGGGAGGAAGGUGUUGUGGUUAAUAACCACAGCAAUUGACGUUACCCGCAGAAGAAGCACCGGCUAACUCCGUGCCAGCAGCCGCGGUAAUACGGAGGGUGCAAGCGUUAAUCGGAAUUACUGGGCGUAAAGCGCACGCAGGCGGUCUGUCAAGUCGGAUGUGAAAUCCCCGGGCUCAACCUGGGAACUGCAUUCGAAACUGGCAGGCUAGAGUCUUGUAAAGGGGGGUAGAAUUCCAGGUGUAGCGGUGAAAUGCGUAAGAUCUGGAGGAAUACCGGUGGCGAAGGCGGCCCCCUGGACAAAGACUGA